rnacentral:misc_RNA from 1 species
UGCGCGCAAGGACAUCCGCUCUCUCCACACUGCGGCUCCUGUCAUCUCCGUCUCCUCCUUUUUGCCUUUUUCAAAGAGAGGUCCCGCCUGUAGUGGUCACUGCACAGAGAUAAACACACACACACGCACGCGCGCUCCCGAAUGCAUCCGCUACCAUUCUGGCUCACUUCUUUGUUUUGUUCGACUUAUACACUCGACUUCUGUUUCCGUCUCUCUUGGUGAUGCGGCGAAGAUGCACCCUUUCUUUUACUAGAUCUUCUCUUCCCUCCCCUCCUCCUCUUCCUCUUGCUCGUCUAUGUGGAGCUUUCGGCCCCUCAUCGCUCACACACACACACACGCACGCACACGCACGCUUACGUGUGUGCGAGGAUGUGCGUGUAGGCUGCCAUACUUCUGUUUUUAUACCCUUUGCUUGGUUUCUGUUGGUCUAUGCAGUAGCCCCGAACUCUUCCUUCCCUCUUCUCUACCCCCUUUGCUGGCCGGAGUGGCUACGGCGGCCGAUGGACGGCCACUGCUGUGAAACGGGUCAGACGUGUUGGCGGAACCUCAUCCGCAGUUUUGCUAUAUGGGAAAACGGUGACGACGACGGAAGUAACGGCAAACAAAGACAGGGACACGUGAAUAACAUCGCACGCUUCCUCGAGGUGGGGCACAGGCGGGUUUAAAAGCUCUGCAAGUAACUAGCACAGAUACACGCAUGCAAAGGAAAGAAAAUGGAAACAGUCGGUGACGCGCAAGCGCACAUCUACCGCCAUGGAGGCCACUACCGCUUCUUCCUACCUUUUUCUCCGCCAAUCUCCUCCCCCUCCCUCGCACCCGCUUCUCCUUGGCAG